rnacentral:rRNA from 1 species
CCUACGGUGAGCAGCAGUGGGGAAUAUUGCACAAUGGGGGAAACCCUGAUGCAGCGACGCCGCGUGAGCGAUGAAGUAUUUCGGUAUGUAAAGCUCUAUCAGCAGGGAAGAAGAUGACGGUACCUGACUAAGAAGCCCCGGCUAACUACGUGCCAGCAGCAGCGGUAAUACGUAGGGGGCAAGCGGUAUCCGGAUUUACUGGGUGUAAAGGGAGCGUAGACGGCGAUGCAAGCCAGAUGUGAAAGACCGGGGCUCAACCCCGGGACUGCAUUUGGAACUGUGUGGCUGGAGUGUCGGAGAGGCAGGCGGGAUUCCUAGUGUAGCGGUGAAAUGCGUAGAUAUUAGGAGGAACACCAGUGGCGAAGGCGGACUGCUGGACGAUGACUGACGUUGAGGCUCGAAAGCGUGGGGAGCAAACAGGAUUAGAUACCCCUGUAGUC